rnacentral:sRNA from 1 species
CUCCCAGGCCUCAGCUCCGGGCAACGUGGAGUGGGGCGGUCCUGGCGGGCCGAGAUGCCGUCCUGCGCUGCGAGGGACCCAUCCCCGACGUCACCUUCGAGCUGCUGCGCGAGGGCGAGACGAAGGCCGUGAAGACGGUCCGCACCCCCGGGGCCGCGGCGAACCUCGAGCUGAUCUUCGUGGGGCCCCAGCACGCUGGCAACUACAGGUGCCGCUACCGCUCCUGGGUGCCCCACACCUUCGAAUCGGAGCUCAGCGACCCUGUGGAGCUCCUGGUGGCAGAAAGCUGAUGCAGCCGCGGGCCCAGGGUGCUGUUGGUGUCCUCAGAAGUGCCGGGGAUUCUGGACUGGCUCCCUCCCCUCCUGUUGCAGCACAAGGCCGGGGUCUCUGGGGGGCUGGAGAAGCCUCCCUCAUUCCUCCCAGGAAUUAAUAAAUGUGAAGAGAGCCUCUGUUUAAAAUGUCUUUGGAUUCCCAGGGCUGAGUGGGCUGGGAUCUCGUGUCCUCAACGUGGAUGGGUUCUGGGGUGGCUCCCGAGGUAGAGGAGUGGAGAACUGGCUCUUAAGAGCACAGUUUUCUCUUCUUUUUUCUUUUUUGAGACAGGGUCUCACACUGUCACCCAGGCUGGAGUGCAGUGUUGCAGUCCGGCUCACUGCAGUUUUGACCUCCCAGGCUCAAGCGAUCCUCCUGCCUCAGCCUCCCAAGUAGCUGGGAGCCUGGGCAUGCAUCGCCACGUCUGGCUAAUUAUUAUUUUUUGUAGACAGGGUCUCACUGUGUUGCCCAAGCUUGUCUUGAACUCCUGGCCUUAAGUGAUCCUCCCACCUCAGCCUCCUCAGUAGCUGGGACUACAGGCAUGAGCCACCAUGCCUGGCCAACUCACAUUUUUCUUUCUAUUAUUUAUUUUUUGUAGAGAUGAGUCUCACUAUGUUGCCCAGGCUGGUCUUGAACUCUUGGGCUCAAGUGAUCCUCCCGCCUCAGCCUCCCAAAGUGUUGGGAUUACAGGUGUGAGCCACAGCACCUGGCCAACCAACACUUCUCAGGGCCUCUUUCAUCUGUGCUCUUCCAGGAUGCUGCCUCUUACUCCCUGGGCACCUCGGCCUGGUCCCAGCAGGUAUGGGCAGGUUGCUUGAGGCUCCAGACAUACCCACCUCUACCUUGACCGCAUCAACCCCAUCACCAAGAGGAGGUUCAGGGAAGCUGCAUUUUGUGGUCUUGUCCUCCCAGUCACAGGGUGGUAGUGCUGGGCUGUUCCCAGCCUCCCACAGCAGAGCUGGACGCUGUGGAAAUGGCUGGAUUCCUCUGUGUUCUUUCCCAUUAUCCCUCAGCUCUGAGUCCUCUUGUGCCAUCUGACAUCUGAUGCCUUCCCAACCACUGCCGAGUUUCUGCCUGGAGCAGGGCCUCAAGGCCCUGGCACACAGAAGAUGUGUAUCAGUAUUAUCAACCAAUGGUUGAUAAAUUGUAUUUUUCAACGAAUUUGCUAGUGAUCUGGUUUACUGCCUUAGUAAUAUCUAGUUCCUAAUAUGCCUAUGCCUUUUAAUGUCUGCACAGUCUAUGAUGAUGUCACUUCUCUCAAGCCUGAUGUGUCCUCUCUCUCUUUCUUGCUAGUGGUUUAUCAAUUUUUAAAACCUUUUCUUGUUUAUUUGUUUUUGAGACAGAGUUUUGCUCUUGUUGCCUAGGCUGGAGUGCAAUGGCGUGAUCUUGGCUCACAGCAACCUCUACCUCCUGGGUUCAAGUGAUUUUCGUGCCUCAGCCUCCUGAGUAGCUGGGCUGACAGGCACCCACCACCACACCCAGCUAAUUUUUAUAUUUUUAGUAGAGAUGGGGUUUCACCUUGUUGGGUGGCCAGGCUGGUCUCCAACUCCUGAGCUCAGGUGAUCCACCCGCCUCAGCCUCCCAAAGUGCUGGGAUUACAGGUGUGAGCCACCACACCCAGCCCCAGCUUAGUUUUUUAAAAAGUUUAUUUUAGCCAUUCUAAUAGGUGUGUAGACAUAUCUAAUAGUGGUUUUCCUUGCGUUUCCUUAAUGUCUGAUGAUGUUAAGCAUUUUUUCCCCAAGUGCUUAGCUGCCAUCUAUAUAGCAUCUUUGAUGAAAUGUCUGUUUAUAUAUUUUGCACACGUUAAAAUAUUGGGUUGUUU